UCUCAGAUGGUCCAGUGGUCAAGAUUUCCGCCUGUCAUGUGAUCACGCGUUCACUGCUCGCGGACGACCGGGGUUCGAUUCCCCGUCUGAGAG
rfam:Arthrobotrys oligospora ATCC 24927 unplaced genomic scaffold scaffold00006, whole genome shotgun sequence.